rnacentral:tRNA from 1 species
AGAGAUAUAGCUCAGAGGUAGAGCACUUGUCUAGCACAUGCAAGGCCCUGGAUUCAAUCUCCAGUAUGGCAA